rnacentral:tRNA from 1 species
GCCUGGCUGGCUUAGUUGGGAGCGCGUGAGACUCUGGAUCUCAGGGUUGUGAGUUCGAGCCCCACGUUGGAUG